ensembl:lncRNA
UUAAAAUACGCUCUUUUCUAAGCUAACUUCAUGUUCAGCUGAAAUCUUCUUGGUUUCCAACAGUGUUUGGGCGUUUCAGCAGUGUGUGUGUGUGGGAAUUUCAGUAGUGUGUAUUAGAAAGUUUCAGUAAUGUUUGUUUGAGUUUCAGUGGUGUGUUUGUGAAAGUUUCAGCAAUAUUUGUCAGAUAGUUUCACAAGUGCAAGCACUUCCGUAAUAAUGUCCCUAGCACCGCCUCACACUCUAGCGGUAUUUCCUCUUUAUUCAUCUAAAGCGGAACUCUGAACAAGUGCAACAGCUACUGGGAGAGAAGCAAAGAGGCGCUGAGAGGAGGAAAAGGAAAGCAUCAGGCACAAACAGACAGUGAGGGAGAGAAAGCGAGGAAGGAAAGGGACAUGGAAAAGCAAAAAGUGUUGUGGAAAAGAUUCUUUGUCAUCUCGGCUAGAAAAACAAGUGAAGCUCAUCAUUCUUUUAUUAAAAGGCUUAAAAGUAUCGAUCAAAUGGAAGUGACCUCCGCAGAAAAAUCUGACUACCUUCUGAUUUUCUGUCCUGUUAAUUCACAAGUUGGAGCAGACAUUGCAGAGGCCCUGGACAAGAUUCCCCGUGGUAAACCUGUAAUUCUGGUGGUGAUGCAUCACACCUCCAAUCUUGAGCAUGUUGUAGCUGAAAGCUGGAGACAGGUGAAGAACGAGAAUGUCCACCUCACUGUGGAUUGUCUGGUUUAUAAGGGAAAACUGCUUGAUUGCAGCUUCAAUGAUAUCAUGUGGUGUAACAUUGGGAAGUUUUUCAGAGUUUCCAUUCACCAGCUCAUUCAGACUUCUAAGUGGCGAAAAUGCAGUUGUUACACUGACCCUCUGAUACUGGGUGUAGGUUUUAUAAUGUGUAUUAUGAUAGUGGCAACUGUGACUAUGGAAGUAGUGCGAAGGAUGAUUUAGAUGUUACUGAGCUGAAUGUUUUUUUUUUAUUAUCUGGAUCAUAAAAAAAGGAAAAUGAUAUAAUGAUAAGAGAUCUGCAACCUUAUGCACAGGGCUACAUGUUCAUUGAAAAAAUGUGUUGUGAGUUUGACAGUGAGAUCUGAGAUGCUAAAAUGUUCUAAAAGAAUAACUUGCUGCUCUUGUCCAAUACUUGUGUGAAAGAAAUCCUCUCUGAAGAGAUGGUCGUGUAAAGUUUGUAUCCAAUGUUUCAGCCAAAGGUGCUAUGAGAUUAAAGUUUUUUAAAGUUCAACAUGUGGCUAUAUUUCCGGUUCACAGUCUCUUUUUGCUUCUUCUUAAGCAAAGCAUUUCCCCUGUGUAUGGCUGUAUGAUAUAAUGUUCUGGUUAAGAUUUAGGUUUUAGUUGAACAGAUUAGUAAGUUUUAAAUAACAGCUCAGAAAGUAAGGAUGCUGUUUUGUGCAAUUUUAUUAAUUAUAUUUAAAUUAUCUGUGAUGAAUACAAAUCAAUUGUAUAUAGUAUUUUAUUUUAUUGUGUACAGUAUCUUAUUCUUAUUCUUAUCAUCUUAUCUUAUUUCAGUGUUUUGUUUUGUUUUCAAAUUUUUGCUAUGUAACUUUACACUGUCCACUUUCUGCUGUAACAAAUCAAAUUGCC